rnacentral:pre_miRNA from 1 species
AGGAACAACAGUGGUGGUGGCCAGCCAUGGAGCCCUGGAUUCUGUUCCUGCAGUAACUAUGGAGCUCUCAGUCUGCAGGAGCCUGGAUGCUCCGGGGGUGG